rnacentral:snoRNA from 1 species
AAACCGUGAUGAGGAUACUUUAAAAGAAGGUCUUUAAAUCGUUCCAUGCAUCGAGAAAAUGAUUCAUUUGGUAUUUGGCGAAACUGGAAGAUGUCAUUCCUAAGUUU